rnacentral:rRNA from 1 species
GGCCCAGAUCGUUUACCGUGAAAAAAUUAGAGUGUUCAAAGCAGGCAGAUCCAAUUCUCUGCCACCGAAUACAUUAGCAUGGGAUAAUGGAAUAGGACCCUGUCCUCCUAUUUUCAGUUGGUUUUGACACGCGAGGACCAGGGUAAUGAUUAAUAGGGAUAGUUGGGGGCAUUAAUAUUUAAUUGUCAGAGGUGAAAUUCUUGGAUUUAUGAAAGAUUAACUUCUGCGAAAGCAUCUGCCAAGGAUGUUUUCAUUAAUCAAGAACGAAAGUUAGGGGAUCGAAGACGAUCAGAUACCGUCGUAGUCUUAACCAUAAACGAUGCCGACCAGCGAUUAGGAGACGUUGAAUACAAAACACCACCAUUGGUGCGGUCGUCCUUGGCAUUUGGUCGUGGCGCGAGUCACGGCCAGGUGCGGGGACGGUUUACCCUGAUGGAUUUCGGUGAAUGACUCCCCUAGCAGCUUGUGAGA